CGAGGGAGUGGGCUCCGUGCUACGCGCGGAAUUCGCGGCGACCAAAGGGAAUAACAGCUGUACCCUCAAGGAGCUAACAUGAAGUUAUGCACAACAAACAAUUGCUAACGCCCUAUAAAGUCAAAAUAUGACCGGUGUUUAAAGAUGAGUAAAAACUUCCUUCGGGACUAAACCAGCAAGUAGACUCAGCUUUGGGAGCCAUCACCCUGGUCCACCUUGAUGUGUCAGCACCACAGAGAGCAGCUUACUUCAUACCCAACCCUGUAAUGCUUGAGUCACUCAAAUGGUGGUAAAGAGGCAAACUAGAUUGUUUCUAAUCGGUGUGCACCUUUGGGACACGUAUAUAACCACCCGAUGCACAUCGUUGGUGACCUAUGAGCAUAUCUACCUCAGCAGUGGGAAUGGGCCCUAGUACGUGAGAAUGUGCCUUAAACAGUGUCUGGCACAUAGUGUGGGAACUGAGGAGUGCAGAAUGGGAAGACUACUGAGGCUACUUAGAGAUGCCUCUCCCAGUGCUCCUUCAGGAUGCUGCUUCCAUCUAUGUUAAGCCCUGAGUUAACUCUGCAGAGAGGCCCCCAGUCACACAGGUUCCUUCUGGCCCAGAGUGACCCCCCUGUGGACGACUGCCGAGUGAGAGCAUGCAUGAUUACCAGAGGUUGCCCAAGCUCCAAAGGAAGAACUCCAUGAUCAACACCCCUGACACUAUGUGGAAAUGGACACGACUGAUGAAUGUGAAAAGGAAUCAUUGAAAUGGAAAAUCCUGGAGCUGAAAGUGGCCGUAUCCAGCUCUACUCUGUGAAUUUUGUAUUUUUUCUUUUAUUUAUUCAUCAUCUCAACAGACAUGUUUUGCGAAUAUACUACAUGCAAAUUACUACAUUGGGUGCUAGGAAAAGAACUGUGAACAAGGGAAGAGGCCAUGUGAGGACACAGUGAGAAGGCAGCCAUAUACAAGCCUGGAAGAGAGGCUUCACCAGAAAUCAACCCAGAUGGCACCUUGAUCUUAGACUUCUAGCUUCCUGAACUCUUCCCGAAGACCAGUCCUCAUGAAGAAAGUGAGGGAAUACUCAUCCUUACUUCCCUCCCACUUCUGUCAGAGGGAACAAUAUUUCCCAAAGUGUGGAAUUCAGACUAGUGCUGAAUAUGUAAGCUGAAAGCAUGCUGACCGAUAAGAGUGGUUAAACUGGUUUCUUCAGUCAGUGAGGAGGGAAUUGGCUCCUGGCUCCACCACAGAAAUUAUAUGCCCUCUUCAAAGCUGCUUCCUCCUCUGAGACGCAGGUUAUGCAGUCAACAGUUUUGACAGCUACAAAGGGACCCAGAGCAGACUUUUCUCCUUUGCCUGAACUCUCCAAGGAUCCAGAGCCUAGGUACCAGCAGAGGAUUCUUGGGCCCAUCUGCCACCUCAGAGAGUCCGGAUGAAUUUGGAUAACUCUGGGAUGCUUCAAAGAAACCCUGCAACAUCUCAGAGAGAAACGUUAAGCUAGUUAGGCUAAUUUGGUAUGUUAAAUUACUUGAGAAGCACUGUCAAGCGAUUGGAGAUAAACCUUCUUAGGCUAUAUGGUAUGGGUAAAUGUCAUUAAUACAAAUAUUCCAAAAUUUAUACGGAAUUCCUAAAAAUCUGGUAUGUCCUGGUAUAAGGUUAUCAGUCAUAAUUCUAGGUGUUAUCUUAGGAUGUUGUAUGUCACAGAAAUAUCCAAGUUUCUUGUCAAUUACAUUAUAAUCAAUCAGAUCUUUAACCAUGCCAUUUUAAGUCUUCUUGUUUAUACACAAUCAUUGUUUUACUCUGAUGCUUUUAUAUAUGAAGAUCUUAGUGAAGAUUCAUAAAAAGCACUUUUGAUAAAUACAAGUUUUUGAUAACUUUUAGAUCUUACUCCUGAACUGGGUAAGAAAUUUUAAAAGACUAAUGGACAACCUGACAACUUCAUCUAGAUGAACAGGAAUUAAUUACAUGGACUGAAUGAAUUGAUGAACAUGACUUAUAAUUUUAUGACUUUUUUCUGAAAUAUACUGGUUUUUAAUCUCUGUUUUCCAGAAAACCUUUCCUCUUACGCUAACUAUGACCUUCAACAAGUUGAUAAAGUAUACCUUUGUAAACGAAGAUGAAACAUUUAUCUUUUUCUCUCUACCUGAUCCCUCCAGAAUUUGGCUUCUCCAGUUGGCUCCCCUGUGGACUUGAUGGCUUAUUUUGACCAGAUUACAACUAGUUAUACUGUUAAACUGUUACACUGUUUUAGUUUGUUCUCGGCAUUUUCAAAUUACUUAUGCCUUGUGCCUCUCUCUGCUGCACUAUCAGUUUAUUAAUGUUACUAACUGUAUUACUUAUGUCCUGUCUGUUUUAUGAGAUUGUUAUCUCUUACAUUACCAAAGUGUAACCAAGCCUCCAGCAAAAUUAAUGACGUCUCGAGUUAGUUGAUCAUGUACAUAACUCUACAUAGAAUAAUUGUAGUAGUGCAAUUCCAGAUCUGGGAAGAAGCAACGAGGGAAAACAUUUCCUGGAUCACAACAGACUAAUAAGACAGGUGAUCCAGAGAAUUUUAGAUGAUCAACAGGGUCUAAUCCACAACAAAUCAGCACAUUGAGUGGCCCAGCAACAGAAUCUUCGCGUGAUCAAGGGAUGAGCCUUCCUAGCCCUGAGGGACAAAAUUGGUCAUGAAAUGCCUCCCAAAUACUGGUUGAAUUUAUGGCCAAGAGGAAGCACUGUGAGCAAAGACUGUCACCUGCCGUAUCAGUAAACAAGCCAUGAAGCCAUCAACCUCUGCAGCCACCACCAAUGGUGCAGCCUGAGGGGAUUCAGAAUGGAGAAAAACAGGAUACUGGCCCUAGACAGUUAAGGUGCAUAUUAAAGGAAUGAUUUCAAUGAGCCAAGGGCCUUGCAUCUUCCCAUACAUAGAAAAGCACUAAAUUCAUUAACUGUAGAUGUCUGUUUUUUCAUUAAUUAGCAGCAAUCUUGUGAUGUUCGACUUCCUGAUUUUAUUUUUGCAAAAACUCCUACAUAUUCCUGGCUCCUCCCUUACC